GCAAUGUGAUUGUAAACAUUAUCAUCUACCCAUUAGCGUAUAUACCCACAUACUUGUCUAUUUAGCAUAUUCCAAUCAUCAUCAGAUUUAUCUUUAGAUUUAACUGAAUCACCCAAUAAUGGUAAGUGAUAACUCUUGCAAAGAAGAUCUUCCAUCUUUCUUUUCCAUAGGUUAUAAUUUAUCUUAUUUAAACUAACCAUUCUACUUGCAUUGAUCUCCAUCUCUACACACAAGACAAUUAACAAGAUAACAC
rnacentral:lncRNA from 1 species